rnacentral:rRNA from 1 species
UGAGGAAUAUUGCGCAAUGGAGGAAACUCUGACGCAGCCAUGCCGCGUGCAGGAUGACAGCCCUACGGGUUGUAAACUGCUUUUCUGCAGGAAGAAUCCAUCCUACGUGUAGGGUGUUGACGGUACUGCAGGAAUAAGCAUCGGCUAACUCCGUGCCAGCAGCCGCGGUAAUACGGAGGAUGCAAGCGUUAUCCGGAUUCAUUGGGUUUAAAGGGUGCGCAGGCGGAUAUGUAAGUCAGAGGUGAAAGCCCGCAGCUUAACUGUGGAAUUGCCUUUGAUACUGCAUAUCUUGAGUCUGGUUGAGGUAGGCGGAAUGUAGUAUGUAGCGGUGAAAUGCAUAGAUAUACUACAGAACACCCAUUGCGAAGGCAGCUUACCAAACCAGCACUGACGCUCAGGCACGAAAGCGUGGGGAGCAAACA